rnacentral:precursor_RNA from 7 species
UUUGGAUCUAGCGAAAUUCCAUAUAGCCAUACUCAAAAUGGAGGCCCUAUCUAAGCUUUUAAGUGGAAAGUGCUUCCCUUUUGUGUGUUGCCAUGUGGAGAAAGCAUCGGAACUUCAA